rnacentral:lncRNA from 1 species
GAGCGCGGCGCACAACUUGCACAAAGGGUCCCCCACAGCGAUACCCCGAUAAUUAUCACAUGUUGAGUCAUCUCCCUCCUUGAGUGCGGGGUACAAUGUAGUGGACGUAAAGGCUAGGCACCCUGUUCGCCUCCCUCGUACACGCAGUUGAAUACUUACGUCCGUUAGGUUGCAAUGGCAUGCCUUGUUCGCCCGUCAUGCCCCUCAGUAGUUGGAUGCUUGUAGUUCUCGGCCAGUGUGGGUUCCCGUUGUGAGGCGUAUGUAUACCUACGCUGUGUGUUAUGUGAAUCCCAUCAAAAUUGACCCCGGUGGGGAUUGAACCCACAGCCUUCGGAUGCUUUCUUCUUUGGAAUCCGACGCGCCACCAUUACGCCACGGAGCCGGUUUUCCGGGAGAACCACAGCGUGCGCUGCUUGGGCCAUAUAUAGUUAGCACAGAGUCCGCCACAGGUGGUGUCCACCACCCUAAUGCCAGUCAUUAGGACUGCUCUACCCUGAUAAAACCCUAAUAAUGGUAGGAACCCUGGCGGUCCCAAUGGUAAAUGCACGCAUGUCCGCACGAUCGGUUCGCUGAUGGCGGAGGGGUCAUGAUUGACCUGUACUGUAUGGCUGAUCGAUGCCGCUUUCUUUCCUCCAGUCAAAUGGCUUGAGGUUGGUCAACAGCUCAAGGGGGAAGAUGGCCUUUUGCUUUGCGAUCACAGGCCGGUUUCUAUUGUUGUUGACGCUGCUGCCAUGGCGUCGGCUCCACACAUGCCACANACGAUCAAGAAGCAGGUUAGGUUCGAUGUGUCGCUCUGGAGGCACUAUGUGCGUUUCUUANNNNNNNNNNNNNNNNNNNNNNNNNNNNNNNNNNNNNNNNNNNNNNNNNNUUAGGUAGGUUGGAGGUGUGCAUGCACCAAAGUGUUUCGUGGUGAAUAGAGUCAAAAGUCCUACUGAAGUUUAUCUGCAUCACGAUAAGUGGUCUGUCUCCGGGCAAUGUAUGCUAAGAAAUGAGGUGGCGCAGGGCAACACGGAGAAUUGAUUUCUCCGUUCCAGAGCCACACCUACAUCCCGCCUGUCUUGCGGCGCAGUUUCCGUUUUCCUCACAGAAUUUGUAACCCGGCUAGCGAUGAGCGCGGCGCACAACUUGCACAAAGGGUCCCCCACAGCGAUACCCCGAUAAUUAUCACAUGUUGAGUCAUCUCCCUCCUUGAGUGCGGGGUACAAUGUAGUGGACGUAAAGGCUAGGCACCCUGUUCGCCUCCCUCGUACACGCAGUUGAAUACUUACGUCCGUUAGGUUGCAAUGGCAUGCCUUGUUCGCCCGUCAUGCCCCUCAGUAGUUGGAUGCUUGUAGUUCUCGGCCAGUGUGGGUUCCCGUUGUGAGGCGUAUGUAUACCUACGCUGUGUGUUAUGUGAAUCCCAUCAAAAUUGACCCCGGUGGGGAUUGAACCCACAGCCUUCGGAUGCUUUCUUCUUUGGAAUCCGACGCGCCACCAUUACGCCACGGAGCCGGCUUUCCGGGAGAACCACAGCGUGCGCUACUUGGGCCAUAUAUAGUUAGCACAGAGUCCGCCACAGGUGGUGUCCACCACCCUAAUGCCAGUCAUUAGGACUGCUCUACCCUGAUAAAACCCUAAUAAUGGUAGGAACCCUGGCGGUCCCAACGGUAAAUGCACGCAUGUCCGCACGAUCGGUUCGCUGAUGGUGGAGGGGUCAUGAUUGACCUGUACUGUAUGGCUGAUCGAUGCCGCUUUCUUUCCUCCAGUCAAAUGGCUUGAGGUUGGUCAACAGCUCAAGGGGGAAGAUGGCCUUUUGCUUUGCGAUCACAGGCCGGUUUCUAUUGUUGUUGACGCUGCUGCCAUGGCGUCGGCUCCACACAUGCCACAAACGAUCAAGAAGCAGGUUAGGUUCGAUGUGUCGCUCUGGAGGCACUAUGUGCGUUUCUUAAAUUCCGAGGUGAUUAGGCACCAGUGUCGGAAGCUUUACGGCAGAUUACAACUGAUCUGAGCGCAGAAUCUACUUACUAAUAAAUAGUACCAGGGCGGUUGAGCGUGUCGGUACGGCUUUGACUAGGUGAUUGGAGAAAGCAUUUGGUAAGGCCCGCCCAGCACACUUCAGUCAAGAGCAGGAUGCCCCUUGGAGGGUCGCAAGUGCCGCCGAGCUGCACCGGCAGGCCAUGUUAGAUGCGCGCAGCGAUGUCAACAAACAGGGAGCUGGCCAUGGUUGGGAGGCAUUUCGCGAUGCGCGGAGGGUAUACAAUGCGGCAAAGGGGAAGACAUGCGCUGCUUGUGAUCUUAUGGUGUUUCGGGUUAUGGUGUCAGCAAAAAAUACCGUACUGAUCCCAGAGUAUUAUUAGGGAGGCAUAUCGGAGCGGCCACGAAACCGUGUUGUCUCAUCGAUGACGGGCUCCGAGUGGCCGAAAUACUUCGAACAGCUGAUGUACGAUGGUGCUGAUGCUGCAGAUAGGGCUGCAGCCGAGCGGAUUGUGAGCUACAUCAAUGUAUGCGAUCGGGAAGGUGGUUAGCGCUCAGGCACUAAGCAGCAUGUGGCGCAUGUGGGGGGCAGAAGAAGGGGAAGUGCAGCUCGACGGCGACGAGGAGGAAGCCAAGUAGCCUCUCGCCGAGGAAGGAGGGUAUGAGGAGGAGGUCUAAAGCCCCAAGCUAAGUAGCGGCAGUGGGAAAGCGGCUGGAGGGCUGAAAUAAGGUGUUGGUUACAGUUGGUUUAUCAACACAGAACACCAUAUAUAUAUCAAAAUCUUUGUAGCUACGUAGAGUCUUCACGACGCGUUGCGACGUGCCUACCCUCCAACACACACAAUUACACACACAAUUACACACACAAUUACACACACAAUUACACACACAAUUACACACACAAUUACACACACAAUUACACACACAAUUACACACACAAUUACACACACACAGACACACACACAGACACACCCAUAGACAUAUGUAGGUAGGUAGGUAGGUAGGUAGGUAGGUAGGUAGGUAGGUAGGUAGGUAGGUAGGUAGGUAGGUAGGUAGGUAGGUAGGUAGGUAGGUAGGUAGGUAGGUAGGUAGGUUGGUAGGUGUGCAUGCACCAAAGUGUUUCGUGGUGAAUAGAGUCAAAAGUCCUACUGAAGUUUAUCUGCAUCACGAUAAGUGGUCUGUCUCCGGGCAAUGUAUGCUAAGAAAUGAGGUGGCGCAGGGCAACACGGAGAAUUGAUUUCUCCGUUCCAGAGCCACACCUACAUCCCGCCUGUCUUGCGGCGCAGUUUCCGUUUUCCUCACAGAAUUUGUAACCCGGCUAGCGAUGAGCGCGGCGCACAACUUGCACAAAGGGUCCCCCACAGCGAUACCCCGAUAAUUAUCACAUGUUGAGUCAUCUCCCUCCUUGAGUGCGGGGUACAAUGUAGUGGACGUAAAGGCUAGGCACCCUGUUCGCCUCCCUCGUACACGCAGUUGAAUACUUACGUCCGUUAGGUUGCAAUGGCAUGCCUUGUUCGCCCGUCAUGCCCCUCAGUAGUUGGAUGCUUGUAGUUCUCGGCCAGUGUGGGUUCCCGUUGUGAGGCGUAUGUAUACCUACGCUGUGUGUUAUGUGAAUCCCAUCAAAAUUGACCCCGGUGGGGAUUGAACCCACAGCCUUCGGAUGCUUUCUUCUUUGGAAUCCGACGCGCCACCAUUACGCCACGGAGCCGGUUUUCCGGGAGAACCACAGCGUGCGCUGCUAGGGCCAUAUAUAGUUAGGACAGAGUCCGCCACAGGUGGUGUCCACCACCCUAAUGCCAGUCAUUAGGACUGCUCUACCCUGAUAAAACCCUAAUAAUGGUAGGAACCCUGGCGGUCCCAAUGGUAAAUGCACGCAUGUCCGCACGAUCGGUUCGCUGAUGGCGGAGGGGUCAUGAUUGACCUGUACUGUAUGGCUGAUCGAUGCCGCUUUCUUUCCUCCAGUCAAAUGGCUUGAGGUUGGUCAACAGCUCAAGGGGGAAGAUGGCCUUUUGCUUUGCGAUCACAGGCCGGUUUCUAUUGUUGUUGACGCUGCUGCCAUGGCGUCGGCUCCACACAUGCCACAAACGAUCAAGAAGCAGGUUAGGUUCGAUGUGUCGCUCUGGAGGCACUAUGUGCGUUUCUUAAAUUCCGAGGUGAUUAGGCACCAGUGUCGGAAGCUUUACGGCAGAUUACAACUGAUCUGAGCGCAGAAUCUACUUACUAAUAAAUAGUACCAGGGCGGUUGAGCGUGUCGGUACGGCUUUGACUAGGUGAUUGGAGAAAGCAUUUGGUAAGGCCCGCCCAGCACACUUCAGUCAAGAGCAGGAUGCCCCUUGGAGGGUCGCAAGUGCCGCCGAGCUGCACCGGCAGGCCAUGUUAGAUGCGCGCAGCGAUGUCAACAAACAGGGAGCUGGCCAUGGUUGGGAGGCAUUUCGCGAUGCGCGGAGGGUAUACAAUGCGGCAAAGGGGAAGACAUGCGCUGCUUGUGAUCUUAUGGUGUUUCGGGUUAUGGUGUCAGCAAAAAAUACCGUACUGAUCCCAGAGUAUUAUUAGGGAGGCAUAUCGGAGCGGCCACGAAACCGUGUUGUCUCAUCGAUGACGGGCUCCGAGUGGCCGAAAUACUUCGAACAGCUGAUGUACGAUGGUGCUGAUGCUGCAGAUAGGGCUGCAGCCGAGCGGAUUGUGAGCUACAUCAAUGUAUGCGAUCGGGAAGGUGGUUAGCGCUCAGGCACUAAGCAGCAUGUGGCGCAUGUGGGGGGCAGAAGAAGGGGAAGUGCAGCUCGACGGCGACGAGGAGGAAGCCAAGUAGCCUCUCGCCGAGGAAGGAGGGUAUGAGGAGGAGGUCUAAAGCCCCAAGCUAAGUAGCGGCAGUGGGAAAGCGGCUGGAGGGCUGAAAUAAGGUGUUGGUUACAGUUGGUUUAUCAACACAGAACACCAUAUAUAUAUCAAAAUCUUUGUAGCUACCUAGACUCUUCACGACGCGUUGCGACGUGCCUACCCUCCAACACACACAAUUACACACACAAUUACACACACAAUUACACACACAAUUACACACACAAUUACACACACAAUUACACACACAAUUACACACACAAUUAC